AUGCAUGCCUAACACAUGCAAGUCGAACGUGUACAGGAAGCAGCUUGCUGCUUCGCUGACGAGUUGGCGGACGUGGUGAGUAACACGUGGGCAACCUACCUUAUAGUUGGGAUAACUCCGGGAAACCUGGGGCUAAUACCUGAAUAAUCUAUUUUACUUCAUGGUGAAAUACUGAAAGACGUGUUUCUGGCUGUCGCUAUAAGAUUNGGCCCGCGGCUGCAUUAGCUAGUUGGUGAGGUAACUGNGCUCACCAAUGCGACGAUGCUGUAGCCGACCUGAGAGGGUGAUCUGGCCACACUGGGACUGAGACACGUGCCCAGACUCCUACGGGAGUGCAGCAGUAGGGAAUCUUCCACAAUGGGCGAAAGCCUGAUGGAGCAACGCCGCGUGAGUGAAGAAGGUUUUCGGAUCGUAAAACUCUGUUGUAAGNGGAAGAACAAGUACAGUAGUAACUGGCUGUACCUUGACGGUACCUUAUUAGAAAGCCACGGCUAACUACGUGCCAGCAGCCGCCGGUAUACGUAGGUGGCAAGCGUUGUCCGGAAUUAUUGGGCGUAAAAGCGCGCGCAGCGGUCCUUAAAGUCUGAUUGUGAAAGCCAACGGCUCAAACCGUGGAGGGUCCUUGAANCUUGGUGGGACUUGAGUUCCGAGAAUGAAAGUUGGAAUUCCAGUGU
rnacentral:rRNA from 1 species